AUACGGAGGGUGCAAGCGUUGUCGGGAUUUAUUGGGUUUAAAGGGUGCGUAGGCGGGUAUAUAAGUCAGUGGGGAAAUCCUACAGCUCAACUGUAGAUGUGCCAUUGAAACUGUAUACCUUGAGUACAGAUGAGGUAGGCGGAAUUUAUGGUGUAGCGGUGAAAUGCAUAGAUACCAUAAAGAACACCGAUAGCGAAGGCAGCUUACUGGACUGUAACUGACGCUGAUGCACGAAAGCAUGGGUAGCGAACAGGAUUAGAAACCCGAGUAGUCC
rnacentral:rRNA from 1 species